rnacentral:rRNA from 1 species
AGAAUCAACGCUGGCGGCGUGCCUAACACAUGCAAGUCGAACGAGAAAGUGGUAGCAAUACCAUGAGUAAAGUGGCGCACGGGUGAGUAACACGUGACUAACCUACCCUUGAGUGGGGAUAACUGAGGGAAACCUUAGCUAAUACCGCAUAAUACCCACGGGUCAAAGGAGCAAUUCGCUCGAGGAGGGGGUCGCGGCCGAUUAGUUAGUUGGCAGGGUAAUGGCCUACCAAGACGAUGAUCGGUA